GAUGAACGCUGGCGGCGUGCUUAAUACAUGCAAGUCGAGCGAAGCACUUUAACGGAAUUCUCCGGAAGGAAGGUAAAGUGACUGAGCGGGCGACGGGUGAGUAACGCGUGGGUAACCUGCCUUAUACAGGGGGAUAACAGUUAGAAAUGGCUGCUAAUACCCCAUAAGACCACAGCACCGCAUGGUGCAGGGGUAAAAACUCCGGUGGUAUGAGAUGGACCCGCGUCUGAUUAGGUAGUUGGUGGGGUAACGGCCUACCAAGCCGACGAUCAGUAGCCGACCUGAGAGGGUGACCGGCCACAUUGGGACUGAGACACGGCCCAA
rnacentral:rRNA from 1 species